UACGGAGGGGGCAAGCGUUGUUCGGAAUUACUGGGCGUAAAGGGCUCGUAGGUGGCCAACUAAGUCAGACGUGAAAUCCCUCGGCUUAACCGGGGAACUGCGUCUGAUACUGGAUGGCUUGAGUUUGGGAGAGGGAUGCGGAAUUCCAGGUGUAGCGGUGAAAUGCGUAGAUAUCUGGAGGAACACCGGUGGCGAAGGCGGCGUUCUGGACUGUAACUGACACUGAUGAACGAAAGCCAGGGUAGCAAACGGG
rnacentral:rRNA from 1 species